AAACUGGAGAUGGCGACCGGCGCACGGGUGAGUAACACGUAUCCAACCUGCCGAUAACUCGGGGAUAGCCUUUCGAAAGAAAGAUUAAUACCCGAUGGCAUAGUUCUUCCGCAUGGUAGAACUAUUAAAGAAUUUCGGUCAUCGAUGGGGAUGCGUUCCAUUAGGUUGUUGGCGGGGUAACGGCCCACCAAGCCUUCGAUGGAUAGGGGUUCUGAGAGGAAGGUCCCCCACAUUGGAACUGAGACACGGUCCAGACUCCUACGGGAGGCAGCAUG
rnacentral:rRNA from 1 species